UAUUACGACCUCCAGAUGUAACGCACACUGUUAAAUGUGGCUGUAGGUUUUGCAGUACAGUACAGCUAAAUUCUACAGUAUGAUACAAUAUCAUGUCUUUACAGCACAGUGUUGUAGUUAAUGUUGCAUUCUGGGUAAUAUUAUUGACGCGGGAAUAUAUUACAGUACAUUUCCCCGCAUACUGUAACUUUGCUGCCACCUUGCUGUAAUAUCGAGAACGAAGUUCUGCCAACCCGACGACUUUACUCCUCUUCUGAAGACAUGACCCAUAGUGGAAUGAGCGCGUCAUUGAAAUUUGGUGAGUUUGGUUUUCGCAUUCAUUAAGUAGUUUUACCCCGGCAUUGUGUAGAUUUUUGUUUAGUAAAAAGACGAGCAUAGCUUGUUUGCUGGUAUCAAAGCUGGUGUCGAUAGCAAAGUAUUGUCUCUGGCUUAAGCAUAGCUAGCUUUAACAACAAGGUAGGCAUAGCCUAUUUGUUUAAAUUAAUCAUCUAAUCCUCUUUAUGCCUUUCUUUUAACUUGUGUAAGUUUAAAGUUAAAAAUAUCGACUUGUCGUUGAAAAGUAUUGUCUGUUGUUAUUACCAGCUAACUUCAAGGACUAGCCUAAGUAAAUUGAAAACGAUGUCGACGACUCUCGUCCCCACUUAGAGACACGAUUCUAGUCAGAUAUUUUAGCACUUCAAAACUAAUAGUAAAUGUAUUUGCCCCUUUUUAAUAGUUGUCUUCUAUAAUUUAUUUUUCCAUUUUACUAUCCUGGCGACAUACGUCUGUAUAUUGUGAAGUCUGUCAUAUAGCCCGUUGGCUCUUGUCUAAGCACAGCUAACCCUAGUUUUAAUUAACAGCAAGGUAGGCCUAUUUGUUUAAACUAAGAUCAUCUAGCCUUCUUUAUGCAGGCAUCUAACAUUUCAUUUUUUGUAAGUAAUAGCAUGACAAAUUAACAAACUGUAAUGCACAUGUUUUUUUGUUUUGUUUUGUUUUGUUUUAUACAGGUCACUGAAACUGUGGCAGAAGUAGAGGGGCACGAGAGAUUGCCUGACACACCCAGACUCAUUAUGGUUGGACCCUCGCUCAUGACAGCAAAAAGAUGGAUGGUGUCCAUUGAAGGAAGAGUUGCUAUUACAUUCACUGGAUCAGACAGUUUUCCUGCUGCUUUCGCCACUCUUUUUGCAUCGUAUUACGUCUUAAACAUGGAAUACCAAGAGUCAGCUGCAUGCACUUUGGAGCUUGUUCAGAGAUUUCUGGUGAGAAUUAAUCCGGAAGAUGGAAAGAAAUGCACAGCCCGACAGGGAGUGAGCAAGAAGACCGGACGAAUUGUCCAGAAAAAAGCACCACCCAUCAACUCCCACGUUAAUAACUUAAUUCGCUCCUUGCUGGACUUUGAAUGGCAGACCUCUAACUAAGCAGUUACAUCUAACAGGUUUUGUGUGUGUGUGUGUGUGUGAGUAGGAGUUGAGUUUUUUCUCAACUCCUACUCAAGCGAGUAGGAAGCAUUUCACACUGCUCCUGCUUCACCUAUCCUUUUAGCAAUUUCCACUCUUUUUCAUUCUUUUAUUUCAUUUACAAGCUAGUUUAGCAAAGACAGUGAAACCAGUACAUUUAAAUCUGAAACUUUAGUGGUUAGUUUUUUACU